UCCAAGGUGUGGCAGAGGCAGCUGACUGGCUGCCAGGUCUGGUCUCCCCUCCCACAGAAUACGGGUGUCCCUAGGGAGGGGGUGCCCUGCUAGCAGUGAUGUUCCAGAUUCCCGCCUCUAGGCGGGGCCCCUGGCUGACUUGCUCUCACCAAUGGACCGAGAUUGAAAAUGACUUUACUUCCAGGUCAAGGUGGCUGGUUCCUGGAUCACUGUGUGGAGGAGAGCCACCCACCAGGAAACCUCACAUUGCAGUUAUAUGGAGAAAUCAAGUAUCAAACUGUGAGGGGCCCCUCCCCCAAAGUCUUCGGAGCGAGCUGGGGCCAAACCUUGCCUAAGCAGGAGGAUGAACACUGCAUGGCCUGAGUGGCCUUUGUGUAUUGCUUGAUGGAGCAGAGCUGAGUGUUGUGGCUGCAGACUCCCGGGACAGUGCUCUGCCCACACCCACGCACGUCUGGGGGCAUGGAUCUGACCUUUGCGUUUUGCUGCGGACCUCUGCCCACAGCUGGAGACAGGAAGGCUGAACUCUGCGUGGCUUGCUGAACUAACUCUCACCUGGCUUCUGCUCAGGCUCUGUGGUUAACAUCUCUGUGGCACACAAACAGACUUUCUCUGAAAGUCUGAGUUUCUCUGAAUCUCUGAGGUACAGGAUUCUGAGAAACCCAGCGGCAGCCUGGCCACCACCAUCAGAGCACCCGGUGAGUCGCCCACACACGCCCAGGAAUGAUACCUCCAUGUCUUACCACACAGUGAGUUUGGGCCCUGGUACUGAUGCCGACGGUGACCCGGGUGGGUGGGAGCACACAGAGGCCGCUGCGCUCCUGUAUCCCACAGACCUGCAGAGCCUGGCCACCCUGGGGCUCGAGGCCACCUCAGCCCUGUGAGGCUUGGGCCCUCCCCAUCACCUAUCCCCAGGAGGUUAUUGUAAGAGUUAAUAAUGCAAGUGGCAGGUGGACAUAGGACCUGGCACUGACUUGAUUCUACUUGCAGCAACCCCUGAGAGGUGGCCAAGCUUGGCAUUCUUGUUACAGGUAAGGAGAUGGAGGUUCUCAGAGCUCACUGGUCACUCAAAGAACCCUCUCAAUUGGUGGCGAGUGGGCUGAAGCCCUGGCAUCUUGAGAGUUAAGAUGGGCAGGGCUCAGGACACUGGAUCUGGUGACACUAAAGUCUCCUCUGAAUGAAUGGAAGUUGGUGAGGAGAGACCCUUGCCUCCAUCUCCCUCCAGUCUGUCAGAGCCGGCUCUGGCUUUUUCCCUACGGGUAACAUUUGUGGGAAUGAAAGCAACGGAUGACAAAGAGGCUUAGGAAAAAUCUAGGACAGGCUAGAUCUCAAAAUCUGGGGAGAAAGGAGUUUCCCAGCUCCCCAACUCCUGCACUCUGGGGCUCCUAGGAUCAUCUACUCAUUUCCUUCCCCCCUCAUCCCCAUACACUGCUCUUGGGUCAUCACCCACAUCCAGUGGUCCAAGCUCAGUCACUGCAAGGAAAGUGUGGUCCUGCUGUGUCCCUAUCCAGGGGUUAAAGGAAUUGGACUUCCUGAAGAGUCUCUGCUACAUCCCUCUCAUCUGGAGUUAUGCCCUUUGUUCACUAAUCAAGGCAACACAUUGAAUAAGAAGGCAAUGCCUAUCUCCCUCACUGGACCCCAAGCUCCCUGAAGACAAGGAUCUUAUUUUUCUUGUUCACUGAACGUCUUCAGCCCCUAGAACAUAGUAGGUGCUCAAUAAAUAUGGGUGAAUGACCUGCUAAAGCUCAGGCCCUCUUUUCAAGGAGGGAAAUGCAAGUUCUGGGCUUGGAGGGCUGAGAAAGACGUACUGUCCCAAGGUGAGGGAGUUUAGAGGAAAUGAGCCCUGCAAGUCAGGAUAUCAGCGAAAGUUACCCCAAUAUCACCACCCACCCCCAAACUUAGUGGCAUGAAAUAACAAUGAUUUUGUUUGCCCAUGAUUCUGUAAUUUGGGAAGGUUCAGCUGGUAUACCUUGUCUCUGCUCCGUAGUGUCAACUGGGAUCAAAGGAUCCACUUCCUUUGGUGGCUCACUCUAAGUUGGCUGCUGGCUGUUGGUUUCACCUAGGCCUCUCUGCAGAGCUGCUUGGGCUUUCUUGCACAUGGUGACUAAGAGGGAGUAUACCAAGAGACAGGAAGUAGAAGCUGCCUGUGUUUUUAAGGUCUGGGCCCAGAAACUGGUAUUGCAUGAUGUCCACCAUAUUUUACUGGUUAAGAAGUCACAGAGCUAAGAUUCAAGGGGCUCCUGAUGGAAAGAAUGUCAAAAAGUUUUGGGGCCAUGCCUUAAAAUAAUCACAGAAGGCUUCCUGGAGGGGGAGUGAGCAGCUACAAACACUAAAGGUUUGAAUGCUACCUGUAGCUCUCUUCCGUAUGGCUGGAGCAGUCGUGGUUUCCUGCAGCACAGCUGAGGCCUUGUUCCAGCUACCCUGAAGAAGCCUCCAGGCAACGGGCAUGACAAAUUAUAUUCUCCAGAAGUGGCCAUAGCACUUCCUGUCUCACAUGUGCUUCUAGAACGUGGUCUACUUCAUCAACAACUGGAAUCUAGGGAUCCCUGGGUGGCGCAGCGGUUUAGCGCCUGUCUUUGGCCCAGGGCGCGAUCCUGGAGACCCGGGAUCGAGUCCCACAUCGGGCUCCUGGUGCAUGGAGCCUGCUCCUCCCUCUGCCUGCGUCUCUGCCUCUCUCUCUCUCUCUCUGUGUGACUAUCAUGAAUAAAUAAAAAUUUAAAAAAAAUUAAAAAAAAAAACAACUGGAAUCUAUUUCCCUUCCCCUUGAAACCAGAUGGACUUGUGACUACUUCACUGGAUGGCUGCCGAGCCUAAGUCCUAACAGGUCAGGUGACUUCCACUUGGUGCUCAGUAUGCUCACCUCUCUCUACUCACUCAUUCUUGGAACAGAGGCACUUGCUGCAAGGAAGCCCAGGCCACAGGAAGAGGCCACCUGUCGGUGUUCCAGCUGACAGCCCAAGGUAAGGUCCUAGCAUCAACCGUCAGGCAUCUAAGUGAGCCAAACUUCAGAGGAUUCCAGCUCCCAGCCUUUGAGUUUUCUUCUACCUGAGGCCCCAGGCAUCAGAGGCACCAGUGACCAACCACGUUCUGUCUGCAUUCCUGACCCACACAGCUCCUAAGCAUACCAAAUGGUUACGUCAUACCAACCUCUGGGUCAUUGGUUACACAGCCAUAGUAACUGGCACAGUGGGCAAAGUGAAAGAGAACACUGGGACCUCCCGAAAGCAGUUCCACGGCAGGAGUCGUCGGGUGGAACCCACCAGAGCAGUCUGGCCAGUGAAGCUGGCUUCCACCAGACAUAGACACACAGGAGAGUUCCCGCUGCUGCUGCUGCUUCCUCACCUACGGCGGCGGGGAUGACGUCAGGCCCUCAGGAUCCUGAUGGGCCAGAACUGACGGGACAGCAGCGAGCCCACAUUGCAGCACGUGCCUGCUUGGUGGCUCAGGUCUGCGAGGACGGAGGACCCACCUUGGCCACCUGCAGCCUCGUCCCGCUCCCCCAUCGCCCUGGCUGAGGAGGAGCCAGGGGCAUGGCUUCUGCCUGCAGGACGAGCCCUGGAAGGAAGAUGUGGAAUGGGAUCGCUUUGCCAAAAGAAGUCGUUUCUUAAGUCAGUGUGAGUAACAGCCUGAAGACAACGAGAACAGAGCAACAGGAUAUGAUGGCACAACAGGGUAUUCCAUGAGUCACGUGAACUGUGCCGUCGUGAGACAGAUGAUGAUGACAACUUCUACAUCAAAGCGGUCUCCAGCCUGUUUACAGGAACUUUUUAUUUCUUUUCAACACGAUAAAAAGAGCUUUUGAAAGUAACACAGGGGGGAGCAGUAAUGGCCUGUGAGAAGGAAGCCCGGCUCGGCUCCCCAGGUGCUGCCCUCAAUUCAUCCUGGCCCUCUCCCCUGCUCGGACACACG